rnacentral:rRNA from 1 species
AUACGUAGGGUGCAAGCGUUAAUCGGAAUUACUGGGCGUAAAGCGUGCGCAGGCGGUUUUGUAAGACAGUGGUGAAAUCCCCCGGGCUCAACCCCGGUACUGCAUUGGAAACUGUCGUGCUAGAGUGUCGGAGGGGUAAGCGGAAUUCCUAGUGUAGCGGUGAAAUGCGUAGAUAUGCGGAGGAAUACCGAUGGCGAAGGCAGCCCCCUGGGAUAAUACUGACGCUCAUGCACGAAAGCGUGGGUAGC